AGCGAACGCUGGCGGCAGGCUUAACACAUGCAAGUCGAGCGGAUGUAGCAAUACAUCAGCGGCAGACGGGAGAGUAACACGUGGGAACGCGCCCUUCGGUUCGGAAUAACUCAGGGAAACUUGAGCUAAUACCGGAUACGCCCUAACGGGGAAAGAUUUAUUGCCGAAGGAACGGCCCGCGUCGGAUUAGCUAGUUGGUGAGGUAAUGGCUCACCAAGGCGACGAUCCGUAGCUGGUCUGAGAGGAUGACCAGCCUCACUGGGACUGAGACACGGCCCAGACUCCUACGGGAGGCAGCAGUGGGGAAUAUUGGACAAUGGGCGCAAGCCUGAUCCAGCCAUGCCGCGUGGGUGAUGAAGGCCUUAGGGUUGUAAAGCUCUUUCAGCUGGGAAGAUAAUGACGGUACCAGCAGAAGAAGCCCCGGCUAACUCCGUGCCAGCCGCCGCAGUAACAC
rnacentral:rRNA from 1 species